rnacentral:rRNA from 1 species
GGAUGCGAUCAUACCAGCACUAAAGCACCGGAUCCCAUCAGAACUCUGAAGUUAAGCGUGCUUGGGCGAGAGUAGUACUAGGAUAGGUGACCUCCUGGGAAGUCCUCGUGUUGCAUUCCC